GAGAUGCCUUACUAGAGUGUUCCAGGGCUAGAAAAGUUAAUUUGACAUCUGUGGAAAGGAGAAGGGCAGCAACAGAUUUGCUUCUGCACAACUUGACUGACACAUGUGCAUAGACUUUGAAUCCAGUGAAUCUACUUUCCCUUUAUCUUAGAGAGCUACCAGUCCCUCACUCCUACAUAUACCAUCUUUAUAGCUAUAUGAGAUAUGGAGAACUUUUACUCUUCCUGCAUUGAAUGAUGGGGACCAAGUGGUCAUUCAGGUGUAUUUUGUUCCAAUGUAUUCUCCUAUAUGGAGUGAACUUCAAGCUCAGCUCUGCCUUGUUUAGAAACCAGAAAAGCUCUGUCUGUCUUCUGUGGCCUUACAGGAGUUUCCUGCAGUGGCAGAACCAUUAGGAGUUUGGUGUGUAUUUCCAACAUUGGCUACUAGUGUUGAGGUGAACUGAGGAACAGGGAAGAGUACUCAGUCUUCUUGCUGCCAAAAUUCUACUAGUAAAAUAAGGCAAGACUCUGUCAAAAAGAAAGAAAAAUCAAAGCAAAGAGAGGAGAAUCUUUGAUGAAAUUAGUCAGGAAUGUAAAGCAUAAAUACUCAGCCAAGACCUUUUAGCAUACUUUCCCUUGUUCAUGAUCUGUUCAGAUAUGAGGGAAGCAUGCUGAAAAGAGAGUUGUCCUUCAGGAGAACUGAAAGAUGUCUUCCAAUAGGAACAUAACCCCUUUAUGUGCCUCCCUCCCCCUCUGUCUUCACUUUGCAGUAUGCAAAUUUUUUUCUCUCUUUUCUUGCACAGCUUGAUACGUGAUUGGUUCUCUCUUUCAACACAAAUGACUGUAGAUAGAUUUUUCUAUUAAAAUUCGAUAUCUAUGCCUUGGUUCUCAAACAUAGAGGGAAAACAAUAUAGUUCUGCCUAUAGGAGGUUGAAUUUGUAAAUAUAUAUAUUAGUUUGGAAAUGCAAU